rnacentral:rRNA from 1 species
AGAGUGAACGCUGGCGGUAGGCCUAACACAUGCAAGUCGAACGGCAGCACAGUAGGAGCUUGCUCUUACGGGUGGCGAGUGGCGGACGGGUGAGGAAUACAUCGGAAUCUACCUUUUGGUGGGGGAUAACGUAGGGAAACUUACGCUAAUACCGCAUACGCCCUUCGGGGGAAAGCCGGGGACCAGCAAUGGCCUGGUGCUGAUAGAUGAGCCGAUGUCGGAUUAGCUAGUUGGUGAGGUAAUGGCUCACCAAGGCGACGAUCCGUAGCUGGUCUGAGAGGAUGAUCAGCCACACUGGAACUGAGACACGGUCCAGACUCCGUACGGGGGGCAGCAGUGGGGAAUAUGGACGAGUGGGCGCAAGCCUGAUCCAGCCAUACCGCGUGGGUGAAGAAGGCCCUGGUAGUAAAGCCUUUGUAGGAAAGAAAGCUAUUCGGUUAAUACCCGGUGUCGUGACGUACCAAAGAAUAAGCAACGGCUAACUCGUGCCAGCAGCCG